GCCUCCGUGGCGCAACUGGUUAGCGCGUUCGGCUGUUAACCGAAAGGUUGGUGGUUUAAAUCCACCCGGGGGCG
rnacentral:tRNA from 1 species